rnacentral:rRNA from 1 species
GAUGAACGCUGGCGGCGUGCCUAAUACAUGCAAGUCGAGCGAACGGACGAGAAGCUUGCUUCUCUGAUGUUAGCGGCGGACGGGUGAGUAACACGUGGAUAACCUACCUAUAAGACUGGGAUAACUUCGGGAAACCGGAGCUAAUACCGGAUAAUAUUUUGAACCGCAUGGUUCAAAAGUGAAAGACGGUCUUGCUGUCACUUAUAGAUGGAUCCGCGCUGCAUUAGCUAGUUGGUAAGGUAACGGCUUACCAAGGCAACGAUGCAUAGCCGACCUGAGAGGGUGAUCGCCCACACUGGAACGGAGACACGGUCCAGACUCCUACGGGAGGCAGCAGUGGGGAAUCUUCCGCAAUGGGCGAAAGCCUGACGGAGCAACCCCGCGUGAGUGAUGAAGGUCUUCGGAUCGUAAAACUCUGUUAUUAGGGAAGAACAUAUGUGUAAGUAACUGUGCACAUCUUGACGGUACCUAAUCAGAAAGCCACGGCUAACUACGUG